GAAAAUGAAAGGGGGGGUUAUCUCCAGGUUAGCAUUCUCACUCAGAGGCAGUCUAGUAUGUGUGUGGUAAGAAUCAAGGACUCUUAAUGAGACCUAAGAUCCCACAGUUCUCCUAAGGAAGGAAAAGUACUUGAAAUGCCUAAUACAGCGGCCAGAACAUGAGAAGUGUUUAUCAUUCAGAAGCAAAGGAGAUUCCAAAGAAGAUAAGAUAGACUAAAUCACAGGAGCAGAUCUGAGAAGGUGCCUCUUCCUGAAGCAGGGCAGAAAGUUCUGUGUACUCUUGUGUAAGUAUACAUCGAGUCAUGAAUUGGAGAUGAGAAAUCAAUCUCGAGAAGACUCACCUUCUACAUUUUGCAUCCUCCUAUACCCUCUCUCACUCUAUACC
rnacentral:lncRNA from 1 species